CAGUCGAACGGCAGCACGGACUUCGGUCUGGUGGCGAGUGGCGAACGGGUGAGUAAUGUAUCGGAACGUGCCCAGUCGUGGGGGAUAACGUAGCGAAAAUUACGCUAAUACCGCAUACGAUCUAUGGAUGAAAGCGGGGGAUCGCAAGACCUCGCGCGAUUGGAGCGGCCGAUAUCAGAUUAGGUAGUUGGUGGGGUAAAGGCCCACCAAGCCAACGAUCUGUAGCUGGUCUGAGAGGACGACCAGCCACACUGGAACUGAGACACGGUCCAGACUCCUACGGGAGGCAGCAGUGGGGAAUUUUGGACAAUGGGCGCAAGCCUGAUCCAGCCAUUCCGCGUGCAGGAUGAAGGCCCUCGGGUUGUAAACUGCUUUUGUACAGAACGAAAAGGUUUCUACUAAUACUAGGAGCUCAUGACGGUACUGUAAGAAUAAGCACCGGCUAACUACGUGCCAGCAGCCGCGGUAAUACGUAGGGUGCAAGCGUUAAUCGGAAUUACUGGGCGUAAAGCGUGCGCAGGCGGUUAUAUAAGUCAGAUGUGAAAUCCCCGGGCUCAACCUGGGAACUGCAUUUGAGACUGUAUAGCUAGAGUACGGCAGAGGGGGAUGGAAUUCCGCGUGUAGCAGUGAAAUGCGUAGAUAUGCGGAGGAACACCGAUGGCGAAGGCAAUCCCCUGGGCCUGUACUGACGCUCAUGCACGAAAGCGUGGGGAGCAAACAGGAUUAGAUACCCUGAUAGUCCACGCCCUAAACGAUGUCAACUGGUUGUUGGGUCUUACUGACUCAGUAACGAAGCUAACGCGUGAAGUUGACCGCCUGUGGAGUACGGCCGCAAGGGUUGAAACUCAAAGGAAUUGACGG
rnacentral:rRNA from 1 species